UGUGUUAAUUUUUGCGCAAGAAAUGCAUGCAAAUUACUGCAUGUUUAAUUAAAUUAUAACUUAUUUGCAUAUCUACAAGUGACGUUUUUUGAAACUUGUAAAAUGUAAUAAUAAUAAUAAUAAUAAUAAUCAUAUCUAGAUUUCUCAAAGUAAACACCCAAGGAAGCAAGGCAAUUGUUUUUUAAAUUAUACUUACCUUCAGUUUCUUCCAUUAAAUGUAGCUGCUUUAAAGGACAGCGAAUAAACAACCUCCCAACAAACACACAACGUUGCCUCAACGUAGCGACCUUCCUACAACGUUGUACCAACAUUGCAAAAAGGUUGAGGAUUCUACGUUGUUGCUAAAGGUGUUCACAACGAUGUCAUAAGGUUGCCAUUUAAACAUCAUGAGGGUCGCAUGCUUUAGGUUGUGCUUAGGUGGCGUGGACGACCACUGUACAACAUUUACUGGUCACAGCUGAAUCAGUUUAAAUUUCAACAAGCCGUCGUCUCAUUCAUCAACGACCGAGGAGACGCUAUUUUUACAUGGAGGUAAUCUUCUAUUGAUAAUUUCUGGAUUUUAAUUAUGCAAUGUUUUCAGCUGUUGAAUUCACCUCAGAUCAGUGUUGCUGUAAUUCCUGAUCUAUGGAAAGAAGAAUUGGAUGAGCGAGCAACGCCACAACUACAGGGCCUGUUCUUUCUCUUC